rnacentral:lncRNA from 1 species
CUUGAAAGUCACGCCCGGACUCUUUCCGUUUUCUUUUCUUGCAUCCUGCACUUGUCUUAGCUGGAGUCUUAGCUGGAGUCAGAAGAGAAACAAUUUGAAUGGAGAAAAUAUGUUUGCCAUAGCAUUGUAGAACCACACUAUUGUCUGCCUAAUCUCAUAGGGAUUAAUUAAUGGGGUGAUGAUGAGGGACCAUUCUGACAGUUUCCUGAGGAACAACCAUGAAAAGAAGGAUCAAGGAAAAGAAAAAGAAAAAGAGGC